rnacentral:rRNA from 1 species
AUACGGAGGAUCCGAGCGUUAUCCGGAUUUAUUGGGUUUAAAGGGUGCGCAGGCGGCCAUUUAAGUCAGCGGUUAAAUCGUGGGGCUCAACCCCAUUCUGCCGUUGAUACUGGGUGGCUUGAUUGCGGUCGAGGUUGGCGGAAUUCGGUGUGUAGCGGUGAAAUGCAUAGAUAUGACGAAGAACACCGAUUGCGUAGGCAGCUGACCAGACCGCAAAUGACGCUCAUGCACGAAAGUGCGGGGAUCGAACAGGAUUAGAUACCCUGGUAGUCCGCACAGUAAACGAUGAAUACUUGUUUUCGGCGAUAUAAUGUCGGAGGCAAAGCGAGAGCGAUAAGUAUUCCACCUGGGGAGUACGCCGGCAACGGUGAAACUCAAAUGAAUUGGCGGGG